UAGCACGCGAUGUUCCCAGCUGGUCACCUUCCCAAGUACCUGAUCGUGCCCGAUGCUACUUAUUUGUGGUGAUCAGACGAGAACCGGUGCUUUCAGCAUGGGAUGGUCGU